GAUGAAGAACGCAGCGAAAUGCGAUAAGUAAUGUGAAUUGCAGAAUUCAGUGAAUCAUCGAAUCUUUAAACGCACAUUGCGCCCGCCAGUAUUCUGGCGGGCAUGCCUGUUCGAGCGUCAUUACAACCCUCAGGCCCCCGGGCCUGGCGUUGGGGAUCGGCGGAAGCCCCCUGCGGGCACAACGCCGUCCCCCAAAUACAGUGGCGGUCCCGCCGCAGCUUCCAUUGCGUAGUAGCUAACACCUCGCAACUGGAGAGCGGCGCGGCCACGCCGUAAAACACCCAACUUCUGAAUGUUGACCUCGAAUCAGGUAGGAAUACCCGCUGAACUUAAGCAUAUCAAUAAGCGGAGGA
rnacentral:misc_RNA from 1 species